AUUGUUAGAGACAGGUGCUGGUGCUAUGACAGCAGGGGUUGUAUCUUCCCACCAAUAAAUUUCAUUACAUCUUGUUGCUAUGCAACAGAUGGCAGAAGAGGGCAGUCUGACAAAAUGGUGUCUGACACUGAAGUGCAUAUGAAGCAAAGACCUGGUAUCCUUUCUACCAUCAAGAAACAACAUGAUGUUUAGCACCAGACCAACAUACAGCUUCUCUACAGGAUUCAGAUUUCUUCACAAUAAGCAAUUCACAGGAAUAAAAAAUUCUCUGUAUAAAGAAUGAUACCACAGUUGGAAGACCUGAAACUUCCAUCAAAGAUAUGUCUUCAGAGUCCAACAUGUCUUCAGUGGGAAGGUUCAUGCUUGGACAUGGUAUGAUAAUGAUUGUUCAGUCCUAUUCUGCAGCCUUCUGUUUUAUAAAGCUUUAAAGUGAAAUCAUGACACUGAAAUACUAUGAACAAUAAAUCUUUGUGCUCCCAUCUAAAGGAUGCCUAUAGUGAUAGCUGGUUAGGUAGACAGGCUUAGGUACUUUAGGAAAAGCCCAGAGAGAAGCAUGUGCUUGCCCCAUCCUCCUACAGCAAAAAACUUCGGUGUUAACUUCAAUGGGUAAACAUACACACAUGGAAACUGUACAGCUUCUACAACAUAACAUCAACUAAGGAGUCAUUAGCUGUACAACAGGGAAUUAUUACAUUGGAUUUUGGUCAUCUCCGUGAAAAGACUAGAAAACAGAAAGACUGUGGCAAAGAUUAUCUGCCAAAAUUGUGAAUCUCUAGAUAUAAACAAUACCUAGAAGAAAAACAGCACAUCAGUCUUUAUGCUCCUAGGAUUCUAAGCAUCAUUUGUGAGUCUUAUUUUGCAGGUCACUUAACCCUGGGCUUGUCCUUAUUCCCCAGUGAAGUUAAAUAAAUUACAAAGCAAAAUGUUCUGGAGAGUUUUGAAGAAGUCAGCAACAAUGAGGCACCAACAUGAGUUCCUUUGAAUUUGUUUCCCCACUCUAUCUCUCUGUUUAGGAACCAGGGAAUCUGCUAGAUAGACUAGGGCUAGAAAGCAAAAUAAAAUAAAGUUAAAAUAUACAUAAGAAAGUGGAAGUUAGAGUUAGUUAGGAUAAUAAAGCCAAGAUAGAAAACAUGUUCAGCUAUAAAAAGUCAGAAACAAAACAGCAAGUAUAAGCUCAUGGGGAAGUUGCAUCCUAGGAUUGAAGCUAGGUAAGUAGCCUGUUAGUUAUGCUGGAGAAAUUAGGAUGAUCUGUAUUUAAAAUAUAUCCAUAUAUCUAGAAUUUCUGGAACAUGGCAACAAAUUAUGUGAAACAAGAAAUUGAACUUCAAACACUUAUCAUGUUACACAUAAGCAACAAGAUUGCCAUCUUGCCUUUGCUAGUCUCUGGUUUUCUUCUGUUUGUUUGUUUUUGCUGUCUUCAUUAUCCCUUAUUAACUGAGGAUCUUCUGGUGCCAACCACAGAAAUUCAAUAAAUCUGUUAUGCCCACU
rnacentral:lncRNA from 1 species